AUAUACUUUCAAAAACUACCACAAAAAAAUUCAAUUGCAAAUUCGUUAUGGAUCUUGAGAUAUCACCAAAACCCUAACAGUAGCUUUAAACCCUAGCUUACAUACACCUGCAUGCUAUUUUCUUUAUAUCUUACAAAAUAAGUAUUUAAAUACCAUGUAACUUUGAUCUAAUUCUUUUAAACCUGAUAACUCACACUUAUAAAAAUUUUGAGCCAAAAAUUCGUCCAGAAACUUAAGAUAUAACUCCAACCAUUACUAUCAAUAAAAUGACUCACUUACUGCCUUUGAAUUACAUGUGCUGUCUUCAAUGCCCUCUAACUCCUUCAUCUAGACUUGGAAUU
rnacentral:lncRNA from 1 species